ACCGUUUUCAUGUACCAGUUUCUGGAACCGUUGAGCAAUUUGUCAAUGUCCCCGGAAAUUUAUACACAGUUAAUCCUAUUGCUGUCAAUAGCGAGUAUUGUAAUGUUUUCACAGAGAAUAAGCGAGUCGUAUCAAUCAUUUCUACUGCAGAAUUUGGAAAGGUGGCAUUUGUAGCAAUUGGAGCAACAAUGGUUGGCAGCAUUACCUUUUUGAAAAAGGAAGGUGACUCCAUCAAGAA
rnacentral:misc_RNA from 1 species